rnacentral:lncRNA from 1 species
AGUUACAUUCUUCACUACACUCACAGUUACUUGAAACUGAGGACAUUCCUGAUAUUCAAGCCCCAAGACCUGGAUGACCAGGAAGCCAGCAACUCGACCAGAAUGGCAGGCUGUGGAAAGAAGUCAUUUGGUGAGCUUCAGACUGAAGUAAAAGAGCCAGAAGAUUAUAGGACUCCCCUUCCUCCAGGACCUGAAGAUGGAAUCCCCAGAGUCUUAAGAGGAGCCACCAGAAAAAGAUCAAAAGACAUCUACUAGAAGCUUUCUUCGAUACCACCUGAGUUCACUGUAGAAGGCAACUUUGUGAUUUCCAAGAGAAGAAAAUGAAAAGAAAAACUUUCUGCUGCAACUUAAAAAUACAUGUUCUCUCAGAUAUGUAGAAACAAGAAAAUAAGCUUUGUUAGUCAAGAACUGUCCCAUCUUAUGUUGAUUUCAUCACUAUGGAAAGGAUGUAGUUGUACUUUCUCCCAAUGUUUUCUAGUCUAACACACAUUAUUAGGUAUUUUAACUUUGAUCAUCAUUUUCUUAUUCUUUCUAUAGUCUGUUUUUAUUUUUAUUCACUAUAGGUUUCUAUCUUUCACAUACUUCCGCUAAUUUAUUUAGUUUACAUUUUUAUUUCUGUAUGUUUAUUUGUUAUAUAACAUUCAUCAGGAUGCACUAUAAUUCUUCCAUCUCUUAUGACUGAGAGACUGGCAAAAAUUAGUUCAUAUGGAAAUAGAAUCAAACAUUGUCAUUUCCUUAAUUUAUACUUAUACCUACAAAUACUCACAAUUCAUAGUUUCUUCAACUAACAGUGGCUUCCUAUUUUUUCCUUCCCACUUAGCUUCCACUAGGUGGAAGGAUUCCUACCAAUCCUUCCCUUUUUCUUAUGUAAACCAAGUGUGGAUUAAUACCAAAUCUAGGCAUGUUUUCCACCAAAAUAAUAUGGGAAUCCACUAAAAUAAUAUAGAUGAGUCUGUUCAAUUUGUUUUGUCUGCUAUAGAGUUUUCCUUAAUACUAUAGGCCAGAUGAUUUUAUAAAUAUUAUAUUAAGAAAGAAUUAUUUCUGACUUUCUUUAAUUUGCAGAUUUGGAAUUCUCUGCUAUAUUUUUUGUUAAUUUUACUUCUUGGCAGAAUAAUGAACUUUAAUUAAAAAUAAAUGAGUCAUUAAAUGAAUUAUAAAUUCAUCAGUGAAUCUCAGUUGCAAUAAUGUUUUUACAUUUUUCUUGAAAAAAAUGAAAAUUAAGUCUCAGAUUUCUUUAAGAGUUAUACAAUUUUGGAUAUCACUAUGAUUUUUCAGAUAGUUACAUUUGAGAAAAAGAAUCCUUUUUCAAAAUACAUAAUGCUUGACAAUGGCUUUGAUCUUAGUUUUAGUGCCCAGGAAUUUCACAAAAGGGAUUGAGCAAAGCAAGAGACAGGAUUUUAGGAUCUCUAAUCUUGAAGAAUGUCUACAGUUUUCUUUUGGGAAGAUUAUAAAGAACGAUCGUACUGCGACUUCUGAACCACUUAUGCUCAAGAUAUUGUUACAUACAUCUAAGACAUCAGUAGCCCAAAGAAUAGUGACCAGAGGGAAAUGCAGAAAUAAGCUAGAAACCAGAUGAAAGUCUGUAUUUGAAAAGGAUUACCUGACUAAAUGUUGUUUCUGAAUCCAAAGAGAUAAAAUUGCAAUAAAAGAAUAAAAUAAUAAGGCAAAACUUUUGGAAAAAAUUGAGUAGGUAUGAAGUGAAUUUUAAAAAAUGAAAUUUGAAGGUUAAGCUGAUAGAUUGCAUUCUUUUAUGAUGCAUAUUGCAGCAAAUUGCUCAUGCAAAUUAAUGCUGCUUGCAUAUUAAUGGAAUGAUUAUGAGUACAGUUUUUAUGUUAUGGAAUUAUCAAAAUUGAUCUUGAAAAAGUGAGCUUUUAGUUGUUAGAAUUUAAUUUUAAAAUCAUAAAAACUUUAGCUAAAUUCCAUAUUUAAAUGAAAAAUGCUUCUAUUUUCCGAGUUGUGCUAACCCAAAUUAUGAAAGUGAAUUAACCAGAGUAGGUUAUUAUGAUAAAAAGGACAGUCAAAAUAUAUAAAGUUUCACAUAAAUUAAAAUUUCAUUUCUUGCUCGUAUGCCAGUUUAGGCUCUUGCUUAUAUACUGGUUUAGGUCAGGUUCUUAUAGAACAUAUUUUGAUGUUGUAGGAAGAACAUCAGUUAUCACCCUGCUGAGCCUGGAGAGGACAGAAUUGUGAAAGGAAUCCAUCAGAAUAAUUGUCACUCAAAAAUUGUAAAACACAAUUAAUCUUUUCUAUAAAAAGAAAUAGUGGAUAGUUACACUUGACUCCAUGCUGAUUGAAGUCCUGUCAUAAAGCAGAUGUUUGAGUUAUCUUGAAAACAGGGUAUAAAAGGGCAUGUUAAAUAUUAAGCCUGAUGUUCCCAUGAGAGAAGAGUGUUGUUAAAUUACUAACAAUCCUGGCUUAUAAAGAGUGCAUAAUCUGUCUUUUGUAUGUUAAAAUUUAGCUUCUUUAAAUAAAUGGAACAUUUGGACACCUUUUUGAGUUGCAAAAUUUUAACAAGAUGUUUUUGAAAAAACGAGAGACAUUUCUCUACAUUAAUCCUUGCUACUACUGAAGUGGAGCUUACAAAGGUCAGAAGCAGAUAGAGCCUUCCUGCCCCUCCUUUUGCUGUCAUACCUAUGGAACAGCAGGGUCCUCCCAACGAAAGGGCAAGAGUGAUGUUCCCUAUAAUGAAUAGUGCUAUUUUAUUACUUGACCUUCAAGACAGCCUGAAACUUUCAAGUCAGAGAUCAGUGUGGAAAAACAAAUUGAUGAGCAGGAACACUGUAAUCUUAGCUGAUAACUCUUUAAAAGGUAACCAAAGCUAUUUCUUUGCUCCCUGGAUACCGGUAAACUUUUCAAAGAACUUAAAAAAAAUCUGGUAGAGCAUAAGGAAAAGUGAACAUUUUGAGUGGCCUUUUCAAAACCACAAGUCAUGUUAAGAAUCUCGAGGCAGUCUGUCUUCACAAAUGACUAUUCAAAAUGCUGAAUAUGCCCCAAAUUAGAAAUGACCAUUAUAUAAGGCUGUGUGUAAGCAAGAGCUUUGAGAAUGGGGGCUUACUGUAAGUCCAAGAGAAGAUCAGAAAGAAAAAAGUUAUAAAGAGCAAAAGAGGAACAAAAGUCCACCAAAGACAGGGCCUAAUCUAGUUCUUAACAGAAUUUGGAUUUGGGUCCAAGGGGGAAUUUUCAGAUAUAAGUCUGGGAAAAACACAAACUUACAACAAAAGCAAAAUAGAAAACUAAAAAUAUCUGAAAUUUAAACCUCCAAAAGUAGAAACAGGAAUAAAAAGUUUCAUAAAAUGUGCUAGUUAUUUUUAUUUUAUCAUAAUUCCUACUUAAAUCCUUUUGGUUUUACAUGAACAUGGAAUAUUUCUAACAACAGAAAAGUCAAUCAUUGAAAACAAUUUUUAUGUGGAUUUAAAAUAUAUUUAGCCAAAAAUCAUUACUUAUAUGUAUAUACAAUAUAAAGAUACAAAUACUAAAGCAAGUGUUUUAGGGGGUAAACAAUACAAUUUAUUUUAUCCAAAUAACAAUAAUUUAAUCAAUAGUUAAUUUUGUUUCAGUGAAUAUUUCUGUAAUUCAAAUUAAGUCAUAAGUGACUGGUAAAAGGGCAAUGAAGUUAUCAUAAGUUGAAAUUUGUUAAUCCAUAUGGCAUUUUUCCAAUACACUUAAUGGUUUCUGCUCCCAAGUAAAUCAGUUAAAGACAAAGAGCACUAAAUGGCUGGCCUUAGCCAACUCAGUACUGUGCAUAAUGCCUGUUCAACCCCACGGUCUUCCCUUUCUCUUUGUCUUAGUUUUGCCACAUGUUCUGCUCAGAAAGUUCUGAUCGCACUGUUCCACCUGAUAUUUAUAUAUUUUGCCCAUGUUUUUAUAACUCAAUAAUGCCAUCCCUUCUGUGUACAGUAUUUGAACAAGCUGUUUUCACCUUUUUUUGUCAAGGUAAAUUCUUUCAUUAAUUCUAAUAUAUUUUGUUACUUAUUAGGAGUUUAGGAUGUUCUUUUAGCUGCACUGGUAUUUUUAUUACUAUUAUCAGGAUAAUUAAGGCAUUACUUAAUGUUCUUCUUCCAACGAUUCUUAGGAUUUUACUCGGUCUUCAUAGGUUUUGAUAUUUGUUAUGUACAUAUUUGCAUCAUACUAUUUUGUUAAAAAUAUGCAUGUUGCAUUAUUGUAAAUUGUCUGUAUAUAGUAAAAUGAAUAACUAGGAUUCAUAAAUUGUACUGUAAUUGACUUCUACUACAAUAAUUGACUAUAGCUAACAUUAUUGUUAGUAAAAUUAAAACAAGAAGAUCAAGUAUCAUUGACCCUGAUAUUUUAAUUUUUUAUGCUAUAAAAUACUCUCCUAGAAGGUCAGUAUAAGAAAACAUAUAAAAGCCAGGUGCAGUGGUAUAUACCUGUACUCCCCACUAUGUAGUAGGCUAAAGCAAAGGAUUGCUUGAGGCCAAAAGUUUGAGGCUACAGUGUGCCAUGACUGUGCCUGUGAAUCCCACUGAACUCCAGCAUGGGCAAUAUAGUGAGCCCCCAUUUCUUAAGAAAAAAAAUAUGUUUUAAUACAAAAUGAAAUAAAAUAUGAAACUAAAGCCUACUUUUCAGUUAUUUUCUUCUUAUUUUGCUCAAUACAAAGUCUUGAUUCUUGACAAUCAAUUUCUAGUUUAGAAAUGGAGCAGAAAACCUGUACUGAAACUACAUGCUUUCAUGAGUUAUAAUUAUAUGUUGGAUUGUGCCUCAUAACACAUGUAAGUGUAAUUGUAUGUUUGAAUCAAUUCUACAAAAUUGCAUCCAGGCUACCAUUGUAUUUAUAGCAAUGGCAUUGGCUUUUGUUUAAAUUGUAAAGACAACAACACUAAAUGGUCAUGGGAGAAGAAGAAAAUUACAAUUAUUUAAUUCCUUAUAUAUAAUAAACUAAAUAUAUGUUUAAAAGGCUUGGAUAUGCUGAUCUGGAGUAAAUAGAAAAUUAUUCUGAGUGAGAGAAAAACUGAAAGGAAACUGAACACAGUUUGAAAACUCCUCUCCAUCUAUCACAAACUAACGACAACAUUUAAAUGACAGAACUGGGUAAAGUAGGUUGCUAUAACAAGCUUCAGAGUCAGUGGCAGAGCUGAAAAUGCAACGUUUGUUGAUUUUUUGAAACAGUGCUCUGACAGGAUGAUCCGAACUCGAUUUAUUUCUUACCUCGAAAAGACUUUUAAAAGCUGAGAAAUAAUGAUACCAAUUUGAUAGGACUUCUGCAUCUACAGAAAUCUACAGCCUCCUUCUGUGAACACUGCAUGUACUUUCUUCCACUGAUCACAAAACCAGGUUAAUUAUUUUACUCCUAAUACAAUCACCUGUUUAAAGCUAGUUCUUUAUGGUUUUGGAUUUUUUUUUCUUUUUCUGGCAGCUCAUAUGUUAAAAGAGUGCAGAUUUGGAAAAGGGUUGAUUAAACAUAUACUCUAGUGACACACUGGGUACUGGGCACAAAGAGAGUAGCUAUAAAGACAAAAUUAUAACAGUCCUGCCUUUAUACUCUGUGGUAAAUCAUGUGUAAAAUGUAAUCUAAUCCCACUGGAUUCUGGAGAUUUACCAUGGAAGCCAGAAUGGGUUUGAGCCAAAAUUAUUAAUAAUAUUUUUAUUUGAUCUUAUUACAGUAGAACUAAUAAUUCAC